rnacentral:rRNA from 1 species
UACGUAGGGUGCAAGCGUUAAUCGGAAUACUGGGCGUAAAGCGUACGCAGGCGGUUAUGUAAGACAGGUGUGAAAUCCCCGGGCUUAACCUGGGAACUGCAUUUGUGACUGCAUAGCUAGAGUACGGUAGAGGGGGAUGGAAUUCCGCGUGUAGCAGUGAAAUGCGUAGAUAUGCGGAGGAACACCGAUGGCGAAGGCAAUCCCCUGGACCUGUACUGACGCUCAUGCACGAAAGCGUGGGGAGCAAACAGGAUUAGAUACCCCCA